rnacentral:rRNA from 1 species
UACGUAGGCAGCGAGCGUUGUUCGGAGUUACUGGGCGUAAAGGGUGUGUAGGCGGUUGUUUAAGUUUGGUGUGAAAUCUCCCGGCUCAACCGGGAGGGUGCGCCGAAUACUGAAUGACUAGAGUGCGGGAGAGGAAAGUGGAAUUCCUGGUGUAGCGGUGAAAUGCGUAGAUAUCAGGAAGGAACACCGGUGGUGUAGACGGCUUUCUGGACCGUAACUGACGCUGAGACACGAAAGCGUGGGUAGCAAACAGG